UACGUAGGGACCAAGCGUUGUUCGGAUUUACUGGGCGUAAAGGGCGCGUAGGCGGCGUGACAAGUCACUUGUGAAAUCUCCGGGCUUAACUCGGAACGGCCAAGUGAAACUGUCAUGCUAGAGUGCAGAAGGGGCAAUCGGAAUUCUUGGUGUAGCGGUGAAAUGCGUAGAUAUCAAGAGGAACACCUGAGGUGAAGACGGGUUGCUGGGCUGACACUGACGCUGAGGCGCGAAAGCGUGGGGAGCAAACAGG
rnacentral:rRNA from 1 species